AUACCUUUUUCGGCCUAUUGGCUAAGAUUAAGUUUAGUAUCUGUUCUUAUCAGUUUAAUAUUCUGGUACGUGGACCAUUGGUUCACAUGAUAUUAAAUUAAUUUUUUAAGGGAUGAGUCCACAAUAGCUUGCUAUUGUGACUUACAUGUGUCAACCUUGCUUUGCACUAUCGCAAGGAUUUUGGCGCACCCUAC